CUUCUACUUUCCUUUCUCCCUCUCUCUCGCAUGCUCUCUGCUAGGCCCGAACGAUGACGGAAGGGGCUCGGGGAAUGGUGAUCGACGGCGGUAGGGGGGUCAGGGUCGGGCUGUUCGGCAGCAGGGGGCUCGGGGCUGGGCUCGACAGCAACGACUGGUGGCUCUGGGGCUAGGCUCGACGACGAGUGGGGGGGUCUCAGGUCUGGGCUCGACGACGCAGGGGCUGAGCAGAGGGCUGUUUGGCUUCGGGACUUUGAGAGACACAAGAACUAUGGCCAUGGCUGAAUCUAACGAUUUCGUUUCGGUUAUUUCACUCUCAACUUGACAAUCACGGGCUUCAGGGUUUUGUAAACAUCUCUUCAAAAAGUCCUGCAUUUGACCUCUUAUCUAAGAUAUUUGAUGGUUGCUUGGAUAAACUUUUAAGGAGGCCGAAUGUUGGGCAGCCACGGCGGCGACGGUCUCCACGUUAGGCGCGCGUACCACGGCAGGGGGUUUCCUUGGACGCAGGCUCCACGGCAGGCGGCGACGGUCUCCUCGGCUCCAGCACCUCAGCUCGCGACGGGGGCGUGGGGUUCUCGGACGCGGCAUGUGUCUCGGCAAUGGCGUGCAUCUCGGCGGCGUGGGUUCUGGGUUCACGCUGAGAGGUUUGUGGGCAUAGCAGGUCUAUAUUGAUAUGCAUUUUUUUGGCGCAAUACUAGACAACAUUGGCAAUUGAAGUUUUUAGAAUAAAAAAUAUAUUUCACUUACAUUGUAUACAUUUCUUGUUUAAUAUUUGGUGAUGAUAGAAUUUGAUUGUAGUAUAAACUAUCAUGUAAUAUAAUAUUGUAAGCCGAGUAGACUAAAUAUUGAAAUUAUAUUUUUGAGUAAUUAAUAAAAAAUUAUUUUGUUGUA